AACGAACGCUGGCGGCAUGCCUAACACAUGCAAGUCGAACGAUCCCUUCGGGGAUAGUGGCGCACGGGUGCGUAACGCGUGGGAACCUGCCCUUAGGUUCGGAAUAACUCAGAGAAAUUUGAGCUAAUACCGGAUAAUGUCUUCGGACCAAAGAUUUAUCGCCUUUGGAUGGGCCCGCGUUGGAUUAGCUAGUUGGUGGGGUAAAGGCCUACCAAGGCGACGAUCCAUAGCUGGUCUGAGAGGAUGAUCAGCCACACUGGGACUGAGGCACGGCCCAGACUCCUACGGGAGGCAGCAGUGGGGAAUAUUGGACAAUGGGCGAAAGCCUGAUCCAGCAAUGCCGCGUGAGUGAUGAAGGCCUUAGGGUUGCAAAGCUCUUUUACCCGGGAUGAUAAUGACAGUACCGGGAGAAUAAGCCCCGGCUAACUCCGUG
rnacentral:rRNA from 1 species